rnacentral:rRNA from 1 species
AAUCAGUGUGUGUGUUAGUGGAAGCGUCUGGAAAGGCGCGCGAUACAGGGUGACAGCCCCGUACACAAAAAUGCACAUAUUGUGAGCUCGAUGAGUAGGGCGGGACACGUGGUAUCCUGUCUGAAUAUGGGGGGCCCAUCCUCCAAGGCUAAAUACUCCUGACUGACCGAUAGUGAACCAGUACCGUGAGGGAAAGGCGAAAAGAACCCCGGCGAGGGGAGUGAAAAAGAACCUGAAACCGUGUACGUACAAGCAGUGGGAGCACGCUUAGGCGUGUGACUGCGUACCUUUUGUAUAAUGGGUCAGCGACUUAUAUUCUGUAGCAAGGUUAACCGAAUAGGGGAGCCGAAGGGAAACCGAGUCUUAACUGGGCGUUAAGUUGCAGGGUAUAGACCCGAAACCCGGUGAUCUAGCCAUGGGCAGGUUGAAGGUUGGGUAACACUAACUGGAGGACCGAACCGACUAAUGUUGAAAAAUUAGCGGAUGACUUGUGGCUGGGGGUGAAAGGCCAAUCAAACCGGGAGAUAGCUGGUUCUCCCCGAAAGCUAUUUAGGUAGCGCCUCGUGAAUUCAUCUCCGGGGGUAGAGCACUGUUUCGGCAAGGGGGUCAUCCCGACUUACCAACCCGAUGCAAACUGCGAAUACCGGAGAAUGUUAUCACGGGAGACACACGGCGGGUGCUAACGUCCGUCGUGAAGAGGGAAACAACCCAGACCGCCAGCUAAGGUCCCAAAGUCAUGGUUAAGUGGGAAACGAUGUGGGAAGGCCCAGACAGCCAGGAUGUUGGCUUAGAAGCAGCCAUCAUUUAAAGAAAGCGUAAUAGCUCACUGGUCGAGUCGGCCUGCGCGGAAGAUGUAACGGGGCUAAACCAUGCACCGAAGCUGCGGCAGCGACGCUUAUGCGUUGUUGGGUAGGGGAGCGUUCUGUAAGCCUGCGAAGGUGUGCUGUGAGGCAUGCUGGAGGUAUCAGAAGUGCGAAUGCUGACAUAAGUAACGAUAAAGCGGGUGAAAAGCCCGCUCGCCGGAAGACCAAGGGUUCCUGUCCAACGUUAAUCGGGGCAGGGUGAGUCGACCCCUAAGGCGAGGCCGAAAGGCGUAGUCGAUGGGAAACAGGUUAAUAUUCCUGUACUUGGUGUUACUGCGAAGGGGGGACGGAGAAGGCUAUGUUGGCCGGGCGACGGUUGUCCCGGUUUAAGCGUGUAGGCUGGUUUUCCAGGCAAAUCCGGAAAAUCAAGGCUGAGGCGUGAUGACGAGGCACUACGGUGCUGAAGCAACAAAUGCCCUGCUUCCAGGAAAAGCCUCUAAGCAUCAGGUAACAUCAAAUCGUACCCCAAACCGACACAGGUGGUCAGGUAGAGAAUACCAAGGCGCUUGAGAGAACUCGGGUGAAGGAACUAGGCAAAAUGGUGCCGUAACUUCGGGAGAAGGCACGCUGAUAUGUAGGUGAAGUCCCUUGCGGAUGGAGCUGAAAUCAGUCGAAGAUACCAGCUGGCUGCAACUGUUUAUUAAAAACACAGCACUGUGCAAACACGAAAGUGGACGUAUACGGUGUGACGCCUGCCCGGUGCCGGAAGGUUAAUUGAUGGGGUCAGCGCAAGCGAAGCUCUUGAUCGAAGCCCCGGUAAACGGCGGCCGUAACUAUAACGGUCCUAAGGUAGCGAAAUUCCUUGUCGGGUAAGUUCCGACCUGCACGAAUGGCGUAAUGAUGGCCAGGCUGUCUCCACCCGAGACUCAGUGAAAUUGAACUCGCUGUGAAGAUGCAGUGUACCCGCGGCAAGACGGAAAGACCCCGUGAACCUUUACUAUAGCUUGACACUGAACAUUGAGCCUUGAUGUGUAGGAUAGGUGGGAGGCUUUGAAGUGUGGACGCCAGUCUGCAUGGAGCCGGCCUUGAAAUACCACCCUUUAAUGUUUGAUGUUCUAACGUGGACCCGUGAUCCGGGUUGCGGACAGUGUCUGGUGGGUAGUUUGACUGGGGCGGUCUCCUCCUAAAGAGUAACGGAGGAGCACGAAGGUUGGCUAAUCCUGGUCGGACAUCAGGAGGUUAGUGCAAUGGCAUAAGCCAGCUUGACUGCGAGCGUGACGGCGCGAGCAGGUGCGAAAGCAGGUCAUAGUGAUCCGGUGGUUCUGAAUGGAAGGGCCAUCGCUCAACGGAUAAAAGGUACUCCGGGGAUAACAGGCUGAUACCGCCCAAGAGUUCAUAUCGACGGCGGUGUUUGGCACCUCGAUGUCGGCUCAUCACAUCCUGGGGCUGAAGUAGGUCCCAAGGGUAUGGCUGUUCGCCAUUUAAAGUGGUACGCGAGCUGGGUUUAGAACGUCGUGAGACAGUUCGGUCCCUAUCUGCCGUGGGCGCUGGAGAACUGAGGGGGGCUGCUCCUAGUACGAGAGGACCGGAGUGGACGCAUCACUGGUGUUCGGGUUGUCAUGCCAAUGGCACUGCCCGGUAGCUAAAUGCGGAAGAGAUAAGUGCUGAAAGCAUCUAAGCACGAAACUUGCCCCGAGAUGAGUUCUCCCUGACCCUUUAAGGGUCCUGAAGGAACGUUGAAGACGACGACGUUGAUAGGCCGGGUGUGUAAGCGCAGCGAUGCGUUGAGCUAACCGGUACUAAUGAACCGUGAGG